rnacentral:rRNA from 1 species
UACAGAGGGUGCGAGCGUUAAUCGGAAUUACUGGGCGUAAAGCGUGCGUAGACGGUAGCGUAAGUCAGAUGUGAAAGCCCCGGGCUCAACCUGGGAACUGCAUUUGAGACUGCUCUGCUCGGGUGCGGAAGAGGGAAGCGGAAUUUCCGGUGUAGCGGUGAAAUGCGUAGAUAUCGGGAGGAACACCGGUGGCGAAGGCGGAUCUCUGGGCCUGUCCUGACGCUCAGGCGCGAAAGCUAGGGGAGCGAACAGG